rnacentral:lncRNA from 1 species
CGGGAGUCGGACUUCACCCCCGACUUCAACUGCACAGGCGGACCUCACCCUGAACUCCUACAAGGGCCGGACUCCGAGCUUCCACUACAUAACGAUCUACUUCAAGUUUCUACCACGAGCGGACCGUGCCGGAUUCCCCCCGUAAGCCUCCGUCCGAGCUUUCGUUGCGGACGAACCUCCCCAGCACCAUCUGAAACCCACCA